GUCAUAAAGUCAGUCUCGUCUAAAACGGAGUUUGGAACCUUAGUGCGUCACAACGAGUAAAUGAAGGUUGGGUUUGGAUUACAAUUAUGUCAACAAAUCAUGCCCCCUUUUGCCAUGCUCCAUAUGCAAAUCUGCCCACUUUGGUACCCUUCACUGAAUGGGGCGCCGUUGUUUCAUCGCCCCCAGCGCGUUCAAAGGUCACAGCCAUUUGAGACUGAAAAUCCCUAGCUAUACGGAUUGACCAACUAUGGUUUGCAUGCCCUGCCGAAUAUCUUGCGGAAUAGGUGGUUGGAGUUUGUUGGUCCCCAGUGGUGGUGAGUAUACUGGUAGCUACACCACAGACUGCUGAUUAUGUAUCUGGUUAUGUAUAUUUUGAUAAUCAUUAUCACUAUCAUCGCUAGCAUAGCUGAUGUUAGCUAGCUACCUAACUAGCUAGCUACCUCAAUACAACUCAGCUUUGGCACUUCUUUUGAUAACAUUUCAAAAUAAUGCAAAUAAUUAGUAGGAAAAUCUUUUGUCAUUAUUGUGAUGUUGCUAGAAUUGACUUUAGAUGCAGUAUAACUUUAGCCAGAUAACUAAGAUUGAGGGGACCACCGUAUUUUAGCUAGCUAACAUUAGCAUUGCUAGCUAUUUUUGACUAACUUUGCUUAUAACAGUAAUGGCAACAUUGCCAUCUCUAUAAAGUAAAUUUGACAACAUCAUAAUAUGGCAAUGUUGUUUCCUACUAAUUAUUUGCCUACUUUAACAUUGUCAUUGUAUUUCCAUGCCACUCUAAGUUAGUGUAAUUUAGGCGACACCUUCACAUUAGCCUCUGAGGUGCAACCCAUGUCUAGGGCACAAAUACAUAUUGGAUGCAGCUAUGAUGGUACUAGCUAACUUAUGUCUGACUACAACAGUGUACUAACUAGCAGCAACAAACUCAAAACAACCCAGGGUCAUAGAAAAACAUGUCACAGUUGGUUGCAUAGUGUAACGGCGUCACCGGUCUGAAUCUAAUCCAAUCUAGAGCCAGUCAGUCUACAUCUGUAAAGCAUAGAAUUAGCUUCCAAACGAGAUUACGUUAUUUCUCGAGCUAUGUUUAUAAUUUAGGGAGGAUGACAAUUGUUGAUCCUGUUUUUCUAUUAGACAAAGUGCACAGUUGGGUGCCAGACUGACCCCCUGGUCAUGAACGGAUGCCGGGACCUACCAGAAGAAGCAAAGGUGGAUAUCAUAACAUGUCCAGCAAUGUGAUUUCAAUGGUUUAGCGACCUAAUGAAGCCUCAGAUAGUGACCCGAGUUUCUGCCCUGAUGACACAGACGGCUUCAUCAACAACGACAGGUAAUGUGCGUUAUAUGAAAAGUUGUAUUAAAAAUAUACCCGGCUUGAAAAACUAGUAGGCUAAUUCCCCAGCCAAGUAGAUACAACUAGUAGAGUCAUUUUGGUUGUAAAGUGCAUUUGCAAAAAGCUUUGUCCUUUCUUUGGAACAAAAUGCUAUUUACCACUUGGCUGUCUAAUAUAUCACCCUGUCACAGGCCCUCCCAGUCAACACCACCUCAUAAGAUUGCCUGCUGCAGAUGUCCAGUUUGCAGCUGAACAUGAAGCAUAGAGAAGACCAGCAAGGGGGCCCUCAUCAGCAUAAUGCAGACAUGCCCUCGCUGUGAGCAUUCCUAUGAAUCCAACAGUCAGUCACAUGUUGACAAGUGUCAGGCCAGCAACCUCCACCUGUCAGCGGCAACAGCUUUCACAGGCUCAUCAUUUGUACAAAUUCAGAAGAUGCAUAUAAUGUCCAGGGCAUAACCUAGCCUGGUGGAACUAGCCUGAUCGCUGUGUUCACCAUUCUAUUCCACUUCACAUUUUGUGAUAUCUGAAGUGAAAUAGAAAGGUGAAUGGUCGUCGAUGGGGAGAAUAGAAUUAGAUGGUCUGGAGAUGCUUUCGCCAGACGGCAGCAUCAGUCGUUUGAUGGUGAGACCAUCAUUGAGUAGGUUUUAUCUGAGCUGUUCAAACUUCACCAUAGUACCUGUUUGUGUGUCAGAUA